CUCUCCCCCGCCCCCGGUCCCUGGGGCUUGGUGUGGGAUUGUUGACAAACCUGUGAUCGUUGGAACUCCAUUCAGGCCAUAAACAGGAGCCCAGCCUGGAGUUUGGACCCCUUAUUUGCUUAUUCUCCAUUAAGGAAUAAUGGAUGGAUCUCACAAUUGCUGUGAGAUGUUACUACCAUUGUAUAGACAAGGAAGUCAAGGCUGCCACCCUUGAAGUUACCCCAUUCAUCUGCACGGACAUCCAUGCCAAACCGAUCCGGCUUCACCAGUCCCAGCAGGUGCUGCCCGGUGUCCCUCUUCAGUCAACAUGAAAAAGAAAAGAACAAGCAACUGAAUGAUCCUCUGAUGGCCUCGAGGCCGUGGAUGGAGGAUGUCUCCAAGUACAAGCAGGUACUCUAGGCACAGGAAGACCAAGCUGAUUUUUUAACAGCAUGGUAUGGAAGAUCCAUCCAGUUCACCCCAUAAUAAGAAAGAGUCUUGUCUUCUCACCGAGGCAAUCGAGCCAACCUGAGUAUACUGGCCAUACAACAUACUCUUGACUGCUAACUGUGGGAUGGCUAAUUUGGUAUAUUUGUUAAUACAGGUUCUGAUGUAAGGAUAUCUUCUUCUUCCUUUUUUGUAUUUCGUUGUUUUUAUCAGCAACUAUAUUUUCCACUGAAGUAGAAAUUCAUAAGGAAAAAAUGAAAAAUAUAACUGCAAGCUAAUUGGCUUUGAUGCUUUGGGGGAUUCAUUUUAUUAUGGAAGAUUCAACUGAAAGAUAAAUGUACACACACAGCAUGAAAAAUAUCGACCCCACGGAAACCACAGGAGAAAGUUCAAUUGGCUUGCAAGGCUAUCUGAUUCAGAGGUGUACAUACAUAAACUAACUUUCAUUGUGUUUGUUUUAUUUAUACUUGUUUAUCUCUUCCAAGCAAAAACUUACUCAUUAUUUGAAAAAGAAUUCAAUGAAAGGGAGAAAAGGCUAAGAUAAGAGAAGAAACUGUUUUUAAGAAGUGUUUUCCUGAUACUUUACUUAAGGUUUUCAUUGCAUACUAGAUCAUUGUGUUGAAUUUUACAUUUUAACUGGUGCUUGCAAAUUUUUUUAUUUAAUAUAUUAACUUCUUUAGUUCUUGCCUAAGAAUACUUAUUUCUCAAGCAUUGAUAAGAGAAGAGUCCCCUCUGUCUGGGUAAUAAAGAAAAUAAGGUGGAUACAUAUCAGAGUCAAGUUUUCCACUAUUAUCUGGACUGAGGGGUAGGAGUCGUUGACAUUAAGAACAUCUUUUCAAGCCAAAUCCCUCUGACUGCUUCCAUAAGCCCAUGCUGAAAUCAUGAAUACCUAUGGUUGGACAGCAAAAAUACAUCUUCUCUUCUGAUGGGGCAUCUAGAAGUUUCAUUCCGUUCCUCAAAUCUCUAUGAACAAUGUAGAUUAAUCUUCAAACGAGAUAACCUUAAUAAAAAUAUGGUGCAAAGGUUUAAACAUUAUUUCACAUGGUAUUUUCUCAUUUACUAUUUCCCACAAUAUCACAAAAGUACAACUCUGUGACCUCAACUGCAGAUAUAGAAUAUGACAUAUACAAAAUGCCAUUACAAUGAAACACAAAAGGAGUCUGAUUUUUCUUGCAGUAGAAUUUAGAGCUAAGAAGCAAAUAACUAUAAACUGUAUUUCCAGUAUGAAAGAGCUGGAGGACCAGUAGAGCUAAACUUUAUAGUUUGCUUUUGAAAAAUUACAAUGAAAUGUUUCAGCAAAUUUCGUGCAAUGACUACAUUAGGUGGCAUAUUUGAAAAGACUUACAAGUAUCCAAAGGAUAUGCUCAUGUAAGGCUCUAAUAGGUGUAAAGGGUACAGUAGAGCAGGAGAAAGAAAUCACAGGCAAUAAUCAAUCAUAAAGAGAUCCAAAUUUUUUCAGGCAGAGUCCUCUAAUGUCCUUCUUCAGUCAGAGAGGAGGUACUUUAUCUUUGGAUGUGAAUUACGAAGAUACAUGUGACGUAUUUGAGUGUCAGGGGAGCCCAAGCACGAGUUACUGGGGGAUUUAUAUAAUCCCCAAUCACAUAGGUAAAGCCAGGCUGUAUGACAGGUCAAACCAGGUACAAACUAUCAAUCUGCGCCUUCUUUACAAACCCUAUAAAAACAUAUAAACAAGCCCCCACUUCUACCAUUGUGGAAUUCACACUUCUCUUAAUUCCCAAUAGAUCUGUGUUUCUGGAUUCCUGAUUCCUGAUCUGACUUCUGUCCUCAAACUCACUUACUCCCUGGACCCUUUGUUCCCCACCAACACUGGCUAUCUGCCUAAGUAUACUGAUUUGGUAGAGAAAAUAAGAAGAUGGAAACAUAAAACUUUAUCGACACCUUUUCUUUCUGUGCCUUAGUCUGUUUGUGUUGCUAUAUCAAAAUACCUGAAACUAGUUAAUUUAUAACAAUCAAAAAAUGUAUUGGCUUAUGGUUCUGGAGGCUGGGGAGUCCAAGAUGGAGAGACUGGCAACUGGUGUGGGCCUUGUUGCUGCAUAAUUUCAUGGCAGCAGAGGGACAAACAAGAGAGAGCAGGAGGGGCCAAACUCUCCCUUUUAUAACAGCACCAGUCCUGCCCAUGUGGGUGCAGCCCUGUGGCCUAAUCACCUCUUACAGGCCCACCCCUUAAAACUGUUACAAUGGCAAUUAACACAUUAACUGCCAUGUGAGUUGCAUUUAACUCACUAGUUUUGAGUUCGUUUUUAACUACCUAGUUAAAACUAGUUAAAUAGUAUUUAACUCACUAGCUUUGAGCCCCAGGCAUCAUGAAGCAUAUGUAACUCACACUUCUCUUUAUCUUGGGAACCCCUGGAACUAUUUUUCAAGUUGCAUAUAAUUCACGCACAGGAAACAAUAAAAAACAA